GCAAGUCGAGGGGCAGCACAUGAGUAGCAAUACGAUGGUGGCGACCGGCGCACGGGUGAGUAACACGUAUGCAACCUACCUUUAACAGGGGAAUAACCCGUUGAAAAACGGACUAAUACUCCAUAACACAGGGGUUCCGCAUGGGAAUAUUUGUUAAAGAUUUAUCGGUUGAAGAUGGGCAUGCGUUCCAUUAGCUUGUUGGUGAGGUAACGGCUCACCAAGGCUACGAUGGAUAGGGGAACUGAGAGGUUUAUCCCCCACACUGGAACUGAGACACGGUCCAGACUCCUACGGGAGGCAGCAGUGAGGAAUAUUGGUCAAUGGAGGCAACUCUGAACCAGCCAAGUCGCGUGAAGGAUGAAGGUCUUAUGGAUUGUAAACUUCUUUUGCAAGGGAAUAAAGUGGGGGACGUGUCCUCCUUUGCAUGUACCUUGCGAAUAAGGAUCGGCUAACUCCGUGCCAGCAGCCGCGGUAAUACGGAGGAUCCGAGCGUUAUCCGGAUUUAUUGGGUUUAAAGGGUGCGCAGGCGGGAUGUUAAGUCGGCGGUGAAAUUUUGCAGCUCAACUGUAAAAGUGCCUUCGAUACUGGCUUUCUUGAGUGUGGAUGAAGUAGGCGGAAUUUGUGGUGUAGCGGUGAAAUGCUUAGAUAUCACGAGGAACUCCGAUUGCGCAGGCAGCUUACUAAACCACUACUGACGCUCAUGCACGAAGGCGUGGGGAUCAAACAGGAUUAGAUACCCUGGUAGUCCACGCAGUAAACGAUGAUUACUAGUUGUUUGCGAUACAAUGUAAGCGACUGAGCGAAAGCGUUAAGUAAUCCACCUGGGGAGUACGUUCGCAAAAUGAAACUCAAAGGAAUUGACGGGGGCCCGCACAAGCGGAGGAAC
rnacentral:rRNA from 1 species